GGCGAAGUGUCAGAGUGGUCUAAUGAGAUAGAUUAGAAAUCUAUUCCUCUUUGAGGGCACAGGUUCGAAUCCUGUCUUCGUCG
rfam:Sistotremastrum niveocremeum HHB9708 unplaced genomic scaffold SISNIscaffold_44, whole genome shotgun sequence.